rnacentral:rRNA from 1 species
UACGGGGGGGCAAGCGUUGUUCGGAAUUACUGGGCGUAAAGGGCUCGUAGGCGGCCAACUAAGUCAGACGUGAAAUCCCUCGGCUUAACCGGGGAACUGCGUCUGAUACUGGAUGGCUAGAGUUUGGGAGAGGGAUGCGGAAUUCCAGGUGUAGCGGUGAAAUGCGUAGAUAUCUGGAGGAACACCGGUGGCGAAGGCGGCAUCCUGGACCAACACUGACGCUGAGGAGCGAAAGCCAGGGGAGCAACGGG